GACGAACGCUGGCGGCGUGCUUAACACAUGCAAGUCGAACGAAGAGCGAUGGAAGCUUGCUUCUAUCAAUCUUAGUGGCGAACGGGUGAGUAACGCGUAAUCAACCUGCCCUUCAGAGGGGGACAACAGUUGGAAACGACUGCUAAUACCGCAUACGAUCUAAUCUCGGCAUCGAGGAUAGAUGAAAGGUGGCCUCUACAUGUAAGCUAUCACUGAAGGAGGGGAUUGCGUCUGAUUAGCUAGUUGGAGGGGUAACGGCCCACCAAGGCGAUGAUCAGUAGCCGGUCUGAGAGGAUGAACGGCCACAUUGGGACUGAGACACGGCCCAGACUCCUACGGGAGGCAGCAGUGGGGAAUCUUCCGCAAUGGACGAAGGUCUGACGGAGCAACGCCGCGUGAGUGAUGACGGCCUUCGGGUUGUAAAGCUCUGUUAAUCGGGACGAAAGGCCUUCCUGCGAAUAGUGAGAAAGGA
rnacentral:rRNA from 1 species